rnacentral:rRNA from 1 species
AGCUUGCUACCUGACCUAGCGGCGGACGGGUGAGUAAUGCUUAGGAAUCUGCCUAUUAGUGGGGGACAACAUUCCGAAAGGAAUGCUAAUACCGCAUACGCCCUACGGGGGAAAGCAGGGGAUCUUCGGACCUUGCGCUAAUAGAUGAGCCUAAGUCAGAUUAGCUAGUUGGUGGGGUAAAGGCCUACCAAGGCGACGAUCUGUAGCGGGUCUGAGAGGAUGAUCCGCCACACUGGGACUGAGACACGGCCCAGACUCCUACGGGAGGCAGCAGUGGGGAAUAUUGGACAAUGGGCGAAAGCCUGAUCCAGCCAUGCCGCGUGUGUGAAGAAGGCCUUUUGGUUGUAAAGCACUUUAAGCGAGGAGGAGGCUACUUGGAUUAAUACUCUAGGAUAGUGGACGUUACUCGCAGAAUAAGCACCGGCUAACUCUGUGCCAGCAGCCGCGGUAAUACAGAGGGUGCGAGCGUUAAUCGGAUUUACUGGGCGUAAAGCGUGCGUAGGCGGCUUCUUAAGUCGGAUGUGAAAUCCCUGAGCUUAACUUAGGAAUUGCAUUCGAUACUGGGAGGCUAGAGUAUGGGAGAGGAUGGUAGAAUUCCAGGUGUAGCGGUGAAAUGCGUAGAGAUCUGGAGGAAUACCGAUGGCGAAGGCAGCCAUCUGGCCUAAUACUGACGCUGAGGUACGAAAGCAUGGGGAGCAAACAGGAUUAGAUACCCUGGUAGUCCAUGCCGUAAACGAUGUCUACUAGCCGUUGGGGCCUUUGAGGCUUUAGUGGCGCAGCUAACGCGAUAAGUAGACCGCCUGGGGAGUACGGUCGCAAGACUAAAACUCAAAUGAAUUGACGGGGGCCCGCACAAGCGGUGGAGCAUGUGGUUUAAUUCGAUGCAACGCGAAGAACCUUACCUGGUCUUGACAUAGUAAGAACUUUCCAGAGAUGGAUUGGUGCCUUCGGGAACUUACAUACAGGUGCUGCAUGGCUGUCGUCAGCUCGUGUCGUGAGAUGUUGGGUUAAGUCCCGCAACGAGCGCAACCCUUUUCCUUAUUUGCCAGCGGGUUAAGCCGGGAACUUUAAGGAUACUGCCAGUGACAAACUGGAGGAAGGCGGGGACGACGUCAAGUCAUCAUGGCCCUUACGACCAGGGCUACACACGUGCUACAAUGGUCGGUACAAAGGGUUGCUACCUAGCGAUAGGAUGCUAAUCUCAAAAAGCCGAUCGUAGUCCGGAUUGGAGUCUGCAACUCGAC